GUCAGUACGACCGAGUGGUCUAAGGCGCCAGACACAAGUUCUGGUCUUCGUGAGGAGGCGUGGGUUCAAAUCCCACUUCUGACA
rnacentral:tRNA from 1 species